rnacentral:miRNA from 1 species
GACGUCGAUAUUCGACGUCAUAAACACCAUCAAGUUUGGUGUUGAUGACGUGGAUAUUCGACGUCAUAAACACCAUCAAGUUUGGUGUUUAUGACGUCGAUAUUCGACGUAAUAAACACGAUCAAGGUUGGUGUUUAUGACGUAGAUAUUCGACGUCAUAAACACGAUCAAGUUUGGUGUUUAUGACGUCGAUAUUCGACGUCAUAAACAGGAGCAAGUUUGGUGUUUAUGACGUCGAUAUUCGACGUCAUAAACACCAUCAAGUUUGGUGUUUAUGACGUCGAUAUUCGACGUC